GGGGACAGUAAAGUAAAGAAGGUGAGCUGGUGAAAUAUUAAAAUAAAAAAAAUGUCUGGUAAGUGUGUCGGUUUGCGUGCAAAUGAACUCUCUUUCUCUCUCUUUAUUCCCUCCUAAGACUUAGAUCAUUCGCUGUCAUAACCUAUUCUCUCUCUUCUAUUCUCUUUUGACAAAUUUUUAUAUUUUGUUGGUUCUUUUUUUCUUUGUCGUUAAAACACUUUGAAGAGUUCAAAUCUUUUCUUUGUUUUAAGAGACUCUUCUUCUUCUUCAACAUGGUUAAGAUUUCAGAUUCUCUUUACGUUUGUGAGGUUGGUUCUUGCAAAACACCAGUUUUUUUGUGAUGCUACUUCUUCUGGGCUCUCUUUUUUGAGAGAGCCUUUCAAAGUUUUUUUUAUUUUAUUUUCUUCGAUAGUGGGUUGGGUUGUUAAGAGUAGUAACCAGUUGAAGCUCGAGAAACCUUUUCAGUGAUAUCGAGCUUGUUUGGUAGCAGUGAUCAAGAUUUGUUGGGGUUGUGGUUUUGAAAAACGUUUUCAAAGUUGGAUCUUUGGGGCAGAUUUUGAGAGCCAUUUUAUUUAUUUUAAUUCAUUUCACUGGCUUGAUCAUCAUCAGCUAAACAAAAUAAAAAGACAAAAACGACCCACUUGGCUUUUACUCGAGGCUGUUUCAAAUCAAAGCUCCACAUUUUCUCUUCUUCUUUCUCUUUCUCUUUCUCUCUCUUUUGUUUCAUAUAUCUCAUAAAAAAAGGACGGACUUCACUAAGAAACAAAAGAAUCUUAGUUCUAAAACCAAACAAAUCCUCCAAAACAAGCGGCUCUUCUAUCACUCAGCUCACAGCUUCUCUCUCUGUGUCUGAUCACUUCUUCAUAUAAAAAGAAAGAUUGGUUCUUCCAAUCUUGGUUGUAGCAAGAAAUGGCUAUGGCGGUGGCCCAUCACAUGGAGAGCAGCAGUGGCAGUGGUAGUAGCAUCAGCAAACAUCUUGAUGCUGGCAAGUAUGUUAGGUACACAGCUGAGCAAGUUGAAGCUUUGGAACGAGUCUAUGCUGAGUGCCCCAAGCCAAGUUCCUUGCGGAGGCAACAGUUGAUAAGGGAGUGCCCCAUUCUUUCCAACAUUGAACCGAAACAGAUCAAAGUUUGGUUUCAAAAUCGCAGGUGUAGAGAGAAGCAAAGGAAAGAGGCUUCAAGGCUGCAGACUGUGAAUAGAAAAUUAAACGCAAUGAACAAACUGUUGAUGGAAGAGAAUGAUCGGUUGCAAAAACAGGUGUCUCAGCUGGUUUGCGAGAAUGGGUAUAUGAGGCAACAACUGCAUACUGUAAAUGCAUCAGCAACUGAUGCAAGCUGUGACUCUGUGGUUACCACUCCUCAGCAUUCAUUGAGAGAUGCCAAUAACCCUGCUGGACUCCUCUCCAUUGCAGAGGAGACCUUGGCAGAGUUCCUUUCCAAGGCUACGGGAACUGCUGUCGAUUGGGUCCAGAUGCCUGGGAUGAAGCCUGGUCCGGAUUCGGUUGGGAUAUUUGCCAUUUCCCAAAAUUGUAGUGGAGUGGCAGCUCGUGCCUGUGGUCUUGUAAGUUUAGAACCUACAAAGAUUGCAGAGAUUCUUAAAGAUCGUCCAUCUUGGUUGCGGGAAUGUCGGAACCUUGAAGUUUUCACCAUGUUUCCAGCUGGCAAUGGCGGAACAAUUGAGCUUGUAUACACACAGACGUUCGCUCCAACUACUCUGGCUCCUGCAAGGGACUUUUGGACACUAAGAUACACUACAACUUUAGAGAAUGGCAGUCUCGUGGUCUGUGAGAGGUCUCUUUCUGGUUCUGGUGCUGGCCCAAGUGCAGCUGCUGCAGCUCAAUUUGUGAGAGCUGAAAUGCUUCCUAGUGGUUAUUUGAUUAGGCCUUGUGAUGGUGGAGGGUCAAUCAUCCAUAUUGUUGACCAUUUGAAUCUUGAGGCAUGGAGUGUGCCAGAGGUGCUGCGCCCGCUUUACGAAUCAUCAAAAAUAAUUGCUCAGAAAAUGACGAUUGCGGCACUGCGCUUCAUCAGGCAGGUUGCUCAGGAGACAAGUGGUGAGGUGGUUUAUGGUCUGGGCAGGCAGCCAGCUGUCCUGAGAACUUUUAGUCAAAGAUUAAGCAGGGGCUUCAAUGACGCAAUAAAUGGAUUCAAUGAUGAUGGCUGGUCAAUAAUGAAUUGUGAUGGUACUGAGGAUGUCAUAAUUGCAAUUAAUUCAAGCAAGAGCUUGAGCAGCACUUCAAAUCCUGCCAAUGCUCUUUCGUUCCUUGGGGGUGUUUUGUGUGCAAAGGCAUCCAUGCUGCUUCAAAAUGUUCCUCCUGCUGUGCUUGUCCGCUUCCUGAGGGAGCAUCGCUCAGAGUGGGCUGAUUUCAAUGUUGAUGCUUAUUGUGCUGCAUCAUUGAAGGCUGGAACAUAUGCUUAUCCUGGGAUGAGACCUACAAGGUUUACUGGGAGUCAGAUCAUCAUGCCACUGGGCCAUACGAUUGAAAAUGAAGAGCUACUCGAAGUUAUAAGACUUGAAGGCCAUUCUUCUGCGCUAGAAGAUGCCUUUUUAUCAGGGGACAUUCAUCUAUUGCAGAUAUGCAGUGGAAUUGAUGAGAAUGCUGUCGGAGCCUGUUCAGAGCUUGUGUUUGCUCCAAUUGAUGAGAUGUUUCCAGAUGAUGCUCCACUGCUACCUUCUGGAUUCCACAUUAUUCCAUUGGAGUCAAAAUCAUCUGAUACACAGGAUUCAUUGACUACAAACAGGACUUUGGAUCUGACUUCAAGUCUUGAAGUGGGGCCUGCAACAAACCAUGCGGCAGGAGAUGCUCCAUGUCAGAACACACGAUCAGUAUUGACAAUUGCCUUCCAGUUUCCCUUUGAUAGCAAUCUUCAGGAUAAUGUUGCAACCAUGGCACGCCAGUAUGUCCGUAGCGUCAUUUCUUCUGUCCAGAGGGUUGCCAUGGCCAUAUCUCCAUCUGGAUUGAGCCCAGCUGUGGGACCAAAGCUAUCUCCGGGCUCUCCGGAAGCACUUACACUGGCUCACUGGAUCUGCCAGAGCUACAGUUUCCAUUUAGGGGCAGAAUUGUUGAAAUCUGAAUCUCUUGAUGGUGACUCAGUAUUGAAGAAUCUUUGGCAACAUCAGGAUGCAAUAUUGUGUUGUUCGAUGAAGUCUCUGCCAGUUUUCAUCUUUGCAAAUCAAGCUGGGCUGGACAUGCUUGAGACAACUCUAGUGGCUCUACAAGACAUCACACUGGAUAAAAUAUUUGAUGAGUCUGGACGCAAGGCAUUGUGCUCCGAUUUUGCCAACUUGAUGGAACAGCAGGGAUUUGCUUACUUGCCGGCUGGAAUCUGCAUGUCAACAAUGGGACGCCAUGUCUCAUACGAACAAGCUGUUGCUUGGAAAGUCUUUGCAGCUGAUGAGAGCACUGUCCACUGCCUGGCCUUCUCUUUUGUAAAUUGGUCUUUUGUGUGAACAUUUUAUAAAUUAUUUGUCCGACACCCCAGCUUCUCCCGUAGCCGAACCUGGAAAUGAUGAUCAAAUCAGGAAAAAGGGAAAAUGUAAAAUGAAAUGAAGAACAGAAAAAGUUUUUGUAAUAUUCAAGCUCUCAGCUCAGAGUCCAUGCCUGCAUUUCAUUCAAACUCCAUCUAAUCUUCCUAGAAAACUCUGCAAGUGAUAAGGUCUGGCAUUAUUAGGAAGGUGCCUAUCUGGACUUCAUAUCUGGGUAAACAUUAUAUUUUUGAAAGUAAAUGAGGGAUCAGAAAGAGGCAUCCACCCCAGAGUUGGUAUGAUCUGGCUAUGUUGGUUCCCAAAGCUUGAAUAUUUUUCAGGCAUUGAUGUUUCUUGUAUGCAUUAGAACUGACAUUGGAUCCAACAGAUACUUGUAAUAACGACGUUUGACCAAUAGAUACUUGUAAUAAUAACACUAUAACAGUCGGCUUUUAGCGGGGAUACUUUUGAGUGAAUAUUGGUUGUAGAUAUAGACCAGACCUAGUAGCUAGUAGUACUUCCGCGUGAGAAGGGCAGCACUCAACUCAGCAGCAGCAGCAGAGAAUUUGACAACAAGUGGGCCCUGAGUUGUGUUGCGUGCACUGAGAAUUUUGAAUUGUAUCUGCAUUUGACUUCUAUUCACCCAGUGUGGCCAACCAUAUCCAUGCUUUUAAGUUUGGAAUCCUGCAUUUGACAACCAGAACAAGGAGAAGCUCAAUAGUACAUAUAUUUGACCUACAGACACACCAACUAGUGUACACGUUUACAUUGAUGUGAUCCAAU